CCUACGGGAGGCAGCAGUGGGGAAUUUUGGACAAUGGGCGAAAGCCUGAUCCAGCAAUGCCGCGUGAGUGAAGAAGGCCUUCGGGUUGUAAAGCUCUUUUGUCAGGGAAGAAAACGGUGAGAGCUAAUAUCUCUUGCUAAUGACGGUACCUGAAGAAUAAGCACCGGCUAACUACGUGCCAGCAGCCGCGGUAAUACGUAGGGUGCAAGCGUUAAUCGGAAUUACUGGGCGUAAAGCGUGCGCAGGUCGGUUUUGUAAGUCUGAUGUGAAAUCCCCGGGCUCAACCUGGGAAUUGCAUUGGAGACUGCAAGGCUAGAAUCUGGCAGAGGGGGGUAGAAUUCCACGUGUAGCAGUGAAAUGCGUAGAUAUGUGGAGGAACACCGAUGGCGAAGGCAGCCCCCUGGGUCAAGAUUGACGCUCAUGCACGAAAGCGUGGGGAGCAAACAGGAUUAGAUACCCUGGUAGUCCACGCCCUAAACCGAUGUCUACUAGUUGUCGGGUUCUUAAUUGACUUGGUAACGCAGCUAACGCGUGAAGUAGACCGCCGUGGGGAGUUACGGUUCGCAAGAUUAAACNCAAAGNGAGUUGGACGUUGNGAGAGCGACGACGACGACGACGGAGGAGGAGG
rnacentral:rRNA from 1 species